AUCAUAAAUGGAGUUUAAAUUUGAUUUGACCUGAUGAUGGCCCAUAAACAAUUCAUCCUGAUGAAUGUCUGUUUUAAAUGUAAUGGCAAUCCAUCCUACAGCUCACUCAAAACCACAAAUGUCAGCCUCAUUAUGGUGCUAGAGAAAAAGUCACGGGAUUCAUCAUCAGGGGACCAUGAACAUUCCUAAAAUUUAGUGCAAAUCCAUCAAGUAGAUGUUGAUAUAUUUUAUUGCGUAAGUGAAAACUUUGAUCUGCUAUUAGCGCAAGGGAAAGGUCAGGGGAUCACCAAAGUUAUUAUGAUUCAUCCUCUGGGGACCAUGAAUGGCUUGAAAAAAUAUCAUAACAAUUUAUUCACCUUUGAUAAUUUUUCCCGAGAGCAUCUACCAGAAGCAACUGUGUUGUACAGCACAGGUACGCUGAAUUUGGCCAGUCAGUUUUCUCCAUUAGAGCUGCAAACAUUUGUAACACAGUACUCAGCACUAUCAGACAAUGCUCAACUCUCUCUAGUUUUAAAUCUUAAUUGUAAGUAAGUAAGUAAUUUUUUUGUAUGAUGUAACAUUUUAAGUGGAAAGUGCUUUAAGUUUUGAAUGAUGCAACGUUCGUUCUCGGUAUCUCUGUUUCAACUUUAACAUAAUAAGCCAUAAUUCCUUUAUUGAUUUGCCUGCCCAGGGACUGCUUGUGAAAUUUAGAUAUUUAGCUAAAUCUUGGUUGUAAUAAACAAACAAAUUUUAAAAAAUAAGCAAACCAGAAGCCUUAAUUUAGUUUAGUUAGUAAAGUUUUCCAGUUUUAUCACUAAGACACUGUGCCCAAGUUGAGUGUCUUUAUAUUGCUGCACACAUUCUGUUAUGCUCUGUUUACUGUCAAUCACCAAACACCCACAAGAAGAAAGGCAAGCCUCUGCCAGGAAAUAAUCCCUCAAGAACGUGUCGCCUUACAAACUUUAGAGUCUUUGUUAGCUGGAAAAGUGGAAAAUGUGAAAAAGCUUAGUGUAAUAUUUCAUGAAGGCCAAAAAGGCGAAAUUGAUGAGGCAGGUGUCUGGAAAAAAUGUUGCUUUGAGGAAAAUCAUCUUUAUCAUGAGUUGCUGUUGCUCUUCAUCGUAUUAACUCUGUUGGAGUGGCUCAGAGAACGAGAAUGCAAGAGCUCUUGUGAUUAACUAGGUUGCAUUACUGAGUAGUGAGGUAGAACGUCCGUUUAUCCUCAAGGGCAAGGCUGGGGUCGUCAGGUGCAGCCAUGUGUUAAAUCUGACAAGCCACGAGAAGGAAACCUGCUCUGGACAAAAACAAGAGCUCGACUCGUAAAACCAUCUUUCUGUCUUCUCAUAUAUGGAGAGACCUGCAGUUGUGUCAAGGCACAGAAACACAAGCAAUUGGCACAAGUCUGCGUCAUUAGACUGUACUAUAAGCUUUCAUGGUUCAGCGGGCAGAGGAAGGGUUGAGCAGAGACCACGCUAAGUAUGUCUUUGAAUGCUGUUGAGUGGUUCUAAAACGUCUAAAAGCAGGUCAAAGGGAAGUACGUAAAAGUAUAUCUUCUCUUUUGUUGUUCAGUGGAACCAAUAAAAGGUUAAACUAAAACCUGGUCCGAGAGGUCGUUGUCAUGCCCAGUGUCUUCUAUUGUCAAUAUUAUUCUGAUUUGUAACUUUUCUUGUUUUUAAUUCUUUUUUUUACAUCAUGUAAUUGCAUUGUCAAGUUUUUGUGCAGUUAUCAUUUAAAGUUAUCAUGUCAUUCCUUUUUGUGAUAUGUUGAUAUUACAGUAAAAGAAACAAAUAUAUAGAGCUGUAGUUGGCAUGUAACUCUAUGUAUACAUGUGCACUUGCAAACAUAUCUGUGCAUACUGUUUCCAUGCAUGCAUAUGUAUAUAUGUGUGGUGUACUUUAUUUAUUUUACGCAUUGUUUUCAUCUGUCUGUUAAACUGCAUAUGAUUGUGUAGCAUAUACGUUGGAUUACAGAAGAUAAGGUUUUGACUCAAGGAGGUGUUGAAAAGGCAAAUAAUGAGACUGAGGCCGAUAAUUAUAUUUGGUGUUGGUACCAUAUAUUAUGUGGAAACAAGGACAAAAAAAACCAACAAUAACAAUACAAUACAAAAUAUUUACAAUCUGCAGAAACGUUGGUUUUGAUUAAGUGCACUUGAGGAAAUUCAGUUCUGUUGACUCAGUAGUUCACAGAAACAAUAAACAAAAUACAGCAAUCAAAUUGAGGAGUACUCAAUUCCCAAUUCCAGCAGAUAUUCGACACACCGCGGCACCAGUCGGCUUCUAAAGACCACGGUAGCGGGCACGAGUGCAGCUGCUCCGGUGGCUUCCCCCUCACACUCCUGAUUGGGGAAACUCACCUCAGCUUGUAAAACGCGCUCGAGCGCUAUGAUAGGUUGAAAGCGUUGCUCUGAAACUACCAUGUGAUUCAAGGGUGUGUCUGGUGGUGUUACAAUUGCAAGACUAAGCGUUUACAGCCUCACUGUUGGCUCUGUGAGGCUGUACUUGCUGUAAAUGCUAAGAUCCGCAUGCUAACAUGCUCACAAUGUCACGAUGCUAAAAUGCCGAUAGUAUGUCUACCAUGUUCACCGUCUUAGCGUAGUGUGUUACCAAGCUAGCAUUUGCUAAUUAGCGCCAAAAAUAAGUGCAGCUGAGGUUGAAGAGCGUGUCAUUAGUUUUGCAGGCAUAUGCUCAUAAACUAAAGUAUUUUUAAGGUAAAUAAAAAUGUUUAGCUUAAGUUGGGGCUACAUGAAAAGUUAAGGGAUCACCAUAGUUGUUGCAAUUAAUCUUAAAGGGGGCCUUGAAAGUUUGUGUAAAAUGGCAUGGCAAUCCAUCCCGUUGCAAUUGCCAUUUGCAUUGCCUCUGGCACGGCUGAAAAGGCAUGACAUCCAGUGUUUCGGGGUCCCUGUUGUGAUUAAAUUAAUUAUUUCUGUGGGAUUGCCAUGGAAAUCACUGCGGCCUAUAGGUCACAUUUCACUUUUCAAAGGUGGAGUGGACCUGGAUGCAAAGGUCAGCUGUCAGAAAGCCUUUAUCCUCUCAAACCAACUGGUGGCCUGUUUGACCGUGACUGACUGCAGCGGACUACACCAAGACUUGAACUGUAUGUGCUGCUUAAAAACAGACCACUGAAGAGUGUUUCAGGCAGAGAUGUGAUCUAUCCACACCCAAAUCCACGAGGCUGGGGCACAGAUGGGAGUGCCACCCAAAGGGGCCUCAGACAUGAGGCACCAAUUUGGCAACCCCUGGUGGGAAGGCGCAGGACUGGCAACCCACCGAAUCCAAGAUGGGGACUACCACACCCAGAGUUAUCUUUUCAGGCAUCGCCUUUGCUCAGUUAUUGCACUUUUUAAAUGGUGGUGAUAGUUGGGCAGAAUCUUCAUGAGGAAGUCGAGCUGCAGAGUCUGAGGCUGCGAAACAAAGAAAGUGAAAACGACUCCGUCUGUCCGUGCACAAAAGGCGACAAAACCUCUGAGCAGCGGCGGAGACUCACCUGGGGCUUUUCGCUCUGCACGCGCCUGAUGCAGUUUGAGCCGUACACGACAGUGUUCUCCAGCACGACCUCACACGUGUUGACCUGGCAGCACGCGCCAAUGAUGCAUCCACCGGUCAGGAUCACAUUUCUCCCAAGAUCAGCUGGGAUUGAACGAAGCAAAAAAGGUGUAUUUUUAUUACACUGUAUAAAUAUGGAAAACAGGGUUGGGGAACAUGAUGAUAUUCACUGUCGGAUGAUACAAAUGGAUCAAAUUUGCAAUACUCUUUACAUCGGUAUCCAUCCCUUUAUUUCUCUGGGUAAUUUAGAUGAUGCGCAAUGUUGCAAAUCAAUGAGGUCAUGGUGUACCUUCAUUAGGGUAUUAAAUUAGCUGUGUUAUCCAAUA